UAUGUGAAGCUAUAGGGGUGAUAGUAUUGCCAGAUGAGAGUGAGUGGAUAAACAACUGGAGUUCAGAUAAAUGUUCAGAGCUACGGUGGGUAGGUAGAAGGGAUUUGCUUGCUGUUUUCGUAUUUUAAUGGAAAACACUAGAAUAUUAUAGUGUGUUUAAGCAAACAAAAACUAAAAUACUAAAAAAAUGUUUAUUAUUUAUGAAAUAAGUUAUCGAUUUUCAGUAUUUUCCCUCUUUUCAUCAAUAUUUUGUGUGUAUUAGGUUUAGAGCCGAAAUUUUAACAUUUUCAAACUAUUUUUGUCUCAAAAGCUUACAGUUUCAAGGUUGAGAGACUACAUGUUUUAUGAAAAUCUACUAAGUUUGCACCAGAAGAAGUCACGAAUCGUAAAAAGUAAACCAUGGCCUGAAAGAAUAUGGGAUGAGCAAAAAGUUCUUGAAGAGAACCGGGACGCCUUGAGAAUUCCGGGCCCAGGAGAAAUUGUUCUCAAUCUAAUCCUUUCUUGUGCACUGGGUACAGAUCUCAAAACGAAUAAACUAGGCAAUCUUGCUAUGUUUAUAUCAAUUCUUAAUGGACAAAUUUCAUGUUUGACAAUAAGCUAUUAGAAAACAUUUAUGUUCGAGUUACCUGGCGACUUGUGAGAGAAUUACAGAUGCAUGUACAUACAUACAUAUGUAAAUAAGUUACUGUUGUUGUAUGUCGACACGCAAGCGCAGACCAACAACAAAGCUAGAUACUUAUUAGAAAACCAACACUGGAUACAAAGAAUGGAGCAAGCCAACGCACUGGGCGGCCUCUGAAUGCCAGCGAGUCAGUCAAAGAACCGGAGAAUGCUCACAGCAGUGCAGAAGGCGCAAAGCACAGCACCAAUGUACAAAGCUACGUAUGUACAUAGGUAAGAGUCAGUCAGUCAUCCAACCUUUGCAACCGGUCACCAGGUAAUACUCGCUGCUUCAACAUACCGAAGAAGUAUAACGCUACAUAAUACAGCAACAUAAAACCCACAUAUACACAUACAUACAUACAUACUUUGUCUAUAAAAAUGUGUAGUAAUGUUUGUCUGUUGGAGUUGGAGUUUAGUUCGGUGGGAAUAAUUCAAUUCUUGGUUGUCUUAUUUCUGGUUUGCUUCAUUCUGAGAUUGGAAUGUGGUACUACCAGAUAUCGGCGCACAAACACACACACAUGUACUGCAUAGGCUCCAUUUACAUGACCAAGAGCUACAACAAUAACAAGCAACAACAACAAUCGUGAUUCUAGUGGGGAAAAAAAUAUUUUCAUACUUUGCUUUUACAGUUGGGAACCAAAGAACCAUUACGAGAAUGCUUCAACAAUCACUUAAUACAAAAAAAAACACAUACAAGUGUAUGUGAACUAAGAAAGCUGAAGGAAGUAUCUCAAGAACAGCAUUAAGGCGAAUGCAAUGUAAAGAAAAAAUCGGGAAAAAAAUAAAUAAAACAUUCUUGAGUCGUCCUUCCAAGAAAUGCAAUCACGCAGCGAUCACCAACGACGUUCUCGCCAACAACAAAGCAAACGCAGCAAUGCUCCUAAACACACACAAAGCAUAAAGAAAGCAACAACAAAAGAUAAGAAAAAUUCACUCAAUAUGCAGGCGCAGGCGCAGACCCAAAUGUGAUAGAGCAGCCAGCAGCGUA